rnacentral:tRNA from 2 species
GGAGUGGUGCUCGAGUGGUUGAAGAGGCACGCCUGGAAAGCGUGUAAGCGUCAAAAGCGCUUCGGGGGUUCGAAUCCCCCUCACUCCG